GGGAUGCACAAUCUACAAAACCCCACAGCCCCUGAGAAUUCUCUCGCCUGCCUUCGGCCCUUAGGCUCCGGGAGAUUGCAAAUAACCUGCUUUCUUUCUGUUCCCAGGUGGCGUCGGACCCCUGUCAGAGAGUAAAUCUCAAGUAAGGUACCUGCCAUCGGCAGAUUUGAGCUUUCUUCUUGGACACCUAAUACCCACAGUCCUCCAGGCUCCGGUAGACUGCAAAUGACCUGCUUUCUUUCUGUUCCCGGGCUGCGUUUGGACCCCUGUCGGAUAGUAAAUCCCAAGUAAGGCUCCGGUAGACUGCAAAUGACCUGCUUUCUUUCUGUUCCCGGGCUGCGUUUGGACCCCUGUCGGACAGUAAAUCCCAAGUAAGGAUAACUUCAGGAAGUGGGUAUUAAUUCUCACGGUAUAAGUGAAGACAUUAAGCACCAGAGUUUAAGUAGCUUGAUCCACUGAAAGAGAUUCAACUGUGUGGAACCUAUGCCGUGGAGAAUUGCUUUCUGCCAUUGUUAUCGUCCAGCAGUUGCCGAAUAGCUCUGACCUGAGCAAAGCAGUGAAACGCGGUGCUGUUGAGUGGGUUGCCACUGCACCUUUUUCAACUACUCUAGUCUUGUGGAGAAAAUACCCCUUCUAAAUUUUUUCUUCAUUGAAUACUCUCCCUCAGCUCCAGAGUACCAUAUAGAGUUUUCUUGUAUUUUAGAGUUACUGUUUUAUCAAAGUUUACCAGUCUUUUGUAUUACAUUUCUCCUGUCUAAAUCGACUGUGUGGUUUCUACUCAUUAUGGAUAUAGAUUGAUACAAACUCAAUAAAUAUUUUUGAAUGAAUAA
rnacentral:lncRNA from 1 species